UUCAAACCAAACAAAAUCUGAAUGUCUUGAGAUCAUCUAUAACGAUGUCAGCUUUAACUAGCAUCGGGGAGCUGUCACUGGCUGUCAUGGCCUCGUAUCACCACAUAUGUAGCUGAUAAAGUAAAGCUGAACCUCUGCACAUCACGCUAAUUAAUCUCAUUCCUAUAUCUACGCAUGCUACCGUUUGGUCUGGAAUGCAAAGAUGCUUCUACAGCUUGGACUUCCUGCCAAUGGGACAUAAUCAUCUUCCU